CUCAGCCGUCAACUAAUCGUCAAGCCCUUGACUAGAUGACUCAGAGAGCAGGUGGUGGAGACAUUCACCAUGUCUCGUCAACAUAGAGCUCCUUGGUUAAAGAAGGGACUUGAGCUGUCCAGAGGAGAAUUCAUUGAGAACAUUUGCCAUCCAAGCCCAGAGUGCUAGGAGCAGAUGGCUGGAUAGAGGCAUCUCUUCCUGUGUAGAUAAAGACAUCGAUCUCCCUGGGCCAUGCUGACUGGAUCUGCUCAUCAGCCAUUCAAAUGAGAUGGAUGCUUCUCUCUGCCUGCAGCCUAGUGACAACAAGAGGGCA
ensembl:lncRNA